GGACGAACGCUGGCGGCACGCUAACACAUGCAAGUCGAACGGAGUUAUCGAGAGCUUGCUUUGAUAACUUAGUGGCGGACGGGUGAGUAACACGUGAGCAAUCUGCCCUUAAGAGGGGGAUAGCAGUUGGAAACGACUGAUAAUACCGCAUAAGAUAGUAGUACCGCAUGGUACAGCUAUAAAAGAUUUAUCGCUUAAGGAUGAGCUCGCGUCUGAUUAGCUAGUUGGUGAGGUAACGGCUCACCAAGGCAACGAUCAGUAGCCGGACUGAGAGGUUGGACGGCCACAUUGGGACUGAGACACGGCCCAGACUCCCACGGGAGGCAGCAGUGGGGAAUAUUGCACAAUGGAGGAAACUCUGAUGCAGCGAUGCCGCGUGAGGGAAGAAGGUUUUAGGAUUGUAAACCUCUGUUGACAGGGACGAUAAUGACGGUACCUGUUGAGGAAGCUCCGGCUAACUACGUGCCAGCCGCUGC
rnacentral:rRNA from 1 species